rnacentral:rRNA from 1 species
GGAGUUAGCCGGUGCUUCUUCUGCGAGUAACGUCACAGAUGUAAGGUAUUAACUUACACCCUUUCCUCCUCGCUGAAAGUGCUUUACAACCCGAAGGCCUUCUUCACACACGCGGCAUGGCUGCAUCAGGGUUUCCCCCAUUGUGCAAUAUUCCCCACUGCUGCCUCCCGUAGGAGUCUGGGCCGUGUCUCAGUCCCAGUGUGGCUGAUCAUCCUCUCAGACCAGCUAGGGAUCGUCGCCUAGGUGAGCCUUUACCUCACCUACUAGCUAAUCCCACCUGGGCUUAUCCAUCAGCGCAAGGCCCGAAGGUCCCCUUCUUUCCCCCGUAGGGCGUAUGCGGUAUUAGCAGUCGUUUCCAACUGUUAUCCCCCACAAAUGGGCAAAUUCCCAGGCAUUACUCACCCGUCCGCCGCUCGUCAUCUUCAAAAGCAAGCUUUUGAAAUGUUACCGCUCGACUUGCAUGUGUUAGGCCUGCCGCCAGCGUUCAAUCUGAGCCAUAAUCAAACUCUGA